CCCCUCCCAAAUCUACACACGGAGCCGAAAUCCCCAAUUCCCCUCUCUCUCUCUCCCCCAUCGUCUCCCUCCCGCACCCGAGCGCUAGCGAAUCCAGGCAGCGGCGCGAGGAGGCGGAGAUGGAGUCGGACCAGGGCAAGCUCUUCAUCGGCGGCAUCUCCUGGGAGACGACGGAGGAGAAGCUGCAGGAGCACUUCUCCACCUUCGGCGAGGUCUCGCAGGCCGCCGUCAUGCGCGACAAGCUCACCGGCCGCCCCCGGGGCUUCGGUUUCGUAGUUUACACCGACCCCGCCUCCGUCGACGCCGCUCUCCUAGAGCCCCACACCCUCGACGGCCGCACGGUCGAUGUCAAGCGUGCGCUCUCCCGUGAGGAGCAGCAGGCUUCCAAGGCGGUGAACCCUAGCGCCGGAAGGAACGCUGGGGGUGGAGGAGGAGGAGGAGGUGGUGGCGGUGACGCCGGUGGUGCUCGGACGAAGAAGAUCUUCGUGGGUGGACUGCCCUCCACUCUCACAGAUGAAGAGUUCCGCCAGUACUUCCAGACCUUUGGCUCUGUCACUGAUGUUGUGGUGAUGUAUGACCAGACCACACAGCGUCCCCGGGGGUUUGGCUUCAUCACCUUUGACUCGGAGGAUGCCGUUGACCGUGUGCUGCACAAGACCUUCCAUGAUCUCGGUGGAAAGAUGGUAGAGGUGAAGCGCGCGCUGCCACGAGAGGCAAACCCUGGCUCUGGCGGCGGCGGGCGAUCCAUGGGAGGUGGGGGUUUUCAUAGUAACAGUGGUCCUAACUCCAACGCUAGCAGCUACGAUGGCAGAGGUGAUGCUAGCAGGUAUGCUCAGGCGCAGCAGGGCAGUGGUGGCUAUCCGGGCUAUGGUGCUGGAGGUUAUGGUGCUGCUCCAACUGGAUAUGGAUAUGGACCUGCUAAUCCUGGAACCACAUAUGGAAACUAUGGGUCUGCAGGAUAUGGAGGCGUUCCUUCUGCGUAUGCUGGUGCCUAUGGCAAUCCAAGUUCUGCUGCUUCUGCUUACCAGGGAGGCCCCCCAGGGACUAACAGAGGACCCUGGGGCAGUCAAGCCCCGUCUGGUUAUGGCACUGGGGGCUAUGCUGGCAAUGCAGGGUAUGGUGCAUGGAACACUUCUUCUGCUGGUGGAAAUGCACCCACUAGUCAGGCACCUGGUGGAGCUGCAGGUUAUGGAAACCAGGGCUAUGGUUAUGGUGGAUACGGAGGGGAUGCAUCAUAUGGUAAUCAUGGAGGAUAUGGUGCUUAUGGUGCACGGGGAGAUGGUGCUGGCAAUCCUGCUGCUGCUGCAGCAUCUGGGUAUGGUGCUGGAUAUGGAAGUGCGAAUGGCAACUCUGGAUAUCCAAAUGCAUGGGCUGAUCCUUCACAGGGCGGAGGAUUUGGUGCUUCAGUCAAUGGAGCUUCUGAAGGCCAAUCAAAUUAUGGCAGCGGUUAUGGUGGUAUGCAGCCUAGGGUUGCUCAGUAAGAGGGAGGCCAUUAUAAUGUCUAUCAAGUGAACCAGCGCAUUUGGGCUUUGCUCUCGUCCUCCUGAAGAUCGUCCAUUCUGCUGGUUGCAUCAGCAUUUCUCCUGGUGGCACAGGAUGCUAUUCCUUUUUUAAUCAUGUCCAAGUGAGAGUGAGAAUGGGCAUCAGAAACCCGCUGAUUUUGCUUGAUGAGCUGAUGAGAAGUUGCAAUUUUGGAGCAUUGACACAGGCACAGAAUGCAAGCCACUAGCUUUUUAUGUGCUUCAUUUUCUUGAGGAUCUUGUGCUGUGCUACAAGAUGGAUCGUUCACUUCGAGUGUAAUACUGCCUGACAAUAUGAUUGCUGGACAGGUCAACAGGUGCACUGUUUGAAAGUAUGUUAAGCUGGAGAUGUUGCUGAAGGUAUCAGAGUUCAUUUCAUGAGAAGACAUCAGUAUAUUCCAGUUAUUGGUCAGUAACACGAGAUUUGGAGGAUGUCAGUGGGUCCUCCUUACAUGUGGAUUUGUUUCCUUGAAAUUCAGAUCUCAAUUCUCCCAUACAAGCUGUACUUCUCAGAACAAGCAACCAGGCUCUGCAUGCCAUGAGUCAAAUUUAUGUUCUCCUGUCAAGGAAGGACACAUCGGUUAAUGAUUUUCCAUGAUGUGUCGUUUAGAAAGCUUUGAUGUCAAACAUCUCUAAAAUAAAAUUUUAUCUUGAAGUGACUCAUUUGCGAUA